CUGCCUGCAGUGAUGGGCAUUUAGAAGUCAGAAGUACAAUCACCAUGGAAAUAACUAGAAACAAGAAGGGAAAGAGAAAAAAGACUCAAGGGUGACACCAAAAGACAGCAGGGCCAUUUCUGACAUCGGGAACCCAAGAGCAGGACAUUCGGUUCCAAUAGCCAACACAGGCAAGGAGAGCCAGAACUACCCAGGAUUUACAGCUCCCUGAGGAGAGCCCUAGCAAAUGACUCCUGAUGCAGAAAGAAGUAUAACUACUCCAGAUUCCUUGCUCCUGGUCCGGACCUCUGUGAGAGAGAGAGACUGCGAGAGAGGGAACACAAGCAGGGGGAGCCGGAGAGGGUGAAGCCGGUUUCCCGCGGAAGAGGGAGCCCGAUGCGGAGCUCGAUCCCAGGAUUCCAGGACCAUGACCCGAGCCAAAGACAGACGCUUAAUGGCUGAGCCAGCCAGGCGCCCCCACUCAGCAAACGUUUAAGACUAAUGACACCAAGUGUUGGUCAAGAAUGUAGAACAAUCAGAAUAUUAGUACAUUCCUGGCAGCAGCGUAAACUGCACAAACAUGUGGAAGAAAAUCUAACCUUAUGAAGUAUAAAGUCGAGCAGGCUCACCCCUUACAACACAGUGAUCCCAUCCCUAAACAUAUACUCCAGAAAAUACAAAUUUACGAAGGCAGACACGUGGAUGAGAAUAUCCACUGAGCAGUUUACAAUGGCUAGCUCUUGGAAACCAUCUUAAUUUCUACCAAUAGGAGAUAGAUUGUAAUUGAUUCUUAUACUAGACCAAUUAACAGCAGUGAA